rnacentral:rRNA from 1 species
GAUGAACGCUGGCGGCGUGCCUAAUACAUGCAGGUCGAGCGAACGGACGAGAAGCUUGCUUCUCUGAUGUUAGCGGCGGACGGGUGAGUAACACGUGGAUAACCUACCUAUAAGACUGGGAUAACUUCGGGAAACCGGAGCUAAUACCGGAUAAUAUUUUGAACCGCAUGGUUCAAAAGUGAAAGACGGUUUUGCUGUCACUUAUAGAUGGAUCCGCUCUGCAUUAGCUAGUUGGUAAGGUAACGGCUUACCAAGGCAACGAUGCAUAGCGGACCUGAGAGGGUGAUCGGCCACACUGGAACUGAGACACGGUCCAGACUCCUACGGGAGGCAGCAGUGGGGAAUCUUGCGCAAUGGGCGCAAGCCUGACGCAGCAACGCCGCGUGAGUGAUGAAGGCCUUCGGAUCGUAAAACUCUGUUAUUAGGGAAGAACAGAUGUGUAAGAAAAUGUGCACAUAUUGACGGUACCUAAUGAGAAAGCCACGGCUAACUACGUG